CCCAGGGAAAUGCCAACAACCACCUGCUUGGAAUGAAGGCCAAGAAAGGCAUAGUAGGAACUGAAAUAAGAGAAAUAGAUGCCUUGGUGGCCUGGGUGAAGCCUCUAUCUAAGCAGCUGGCAUACACAGGAUAAAGAACAUGGUCCAAUGUCAAUGAAGACAACAUUCAGAAACCCUCAGUUCCAAAAUGGCAUCCUUUGGGUAUAUGGACUUGGAAGUACUUGUUGGAUGGGUAAGAAGGGUGCUGAAAAACAAAGAGAACAGAUAAGUUAAAAGCUGAUAUAGACUAUGGCUACCUCCAAUCCUGGUUCCUUGACUCAACUGAGAGUCAACCCAGAGAAGCAAACACUACAACAGAAGCCAGCCUUAAACCACUGCUUCAGCAACGCUCCCAUACUCUCCCAUACUCAUACCUGCCUGAAGCAUGAUGUCAGAGCCCUGCGCUGUGCCCCACCUCCUCUGCCCCCAUGGCAGGCAGGGUGGCUGCUGUAGAGGCAUGGAACAGCAAAGAGCCAUGCUGAUGCAUUUCUUACCGCCUCUAAAGACAAUCAUUAUUCCUGGAAUGACAAUUUGUAAGCUCAACCUAAUUACAGCCAAAUUGAUUAAGAGACACAUAAUCUCAAGAUUAGCAUUCGGGCAAAUGCUGCUUAACUUAGCCACUGAGGAUUCAGAGGAGGAAACAGCUGUGCUCUUCAGGAAAUUGUUUGGAAUAAAAGAGUGGAGUCUGCCGGCAAACCUUAGCCUUAG